AGGAAGUAGGAGGGCCAAUGUGCAAAUGUAAGAUGUGAUCGAGGGGAUCAAAUCCCUCUCAAUUCCCAAAAUCUGGCCUGGCAUCUCCAUCUCUUCUCUCCCCCGCCUCCUUCUCCACCUCCGGCCGCCGUCGUGGCCAGGCCGGCGUGGCUGCGCGCCACCACGCCAUCACCAACAUCCACCAGACACCACCACAUCCAUCCACCAGCGCCAUCAGCAACUCCCCGCACCUCCACCAACGCCGCCACCCACCAGUGUUGCCAGCCACCAGCGCCCAUCUCGCGCGCCCCUUCGGACACGGCCGCGGCGGUGUCUAGCUGCCCGCACGACCCAGCACCAGCACCUCCGCACUCCAUCCAUCCAUUCGCUGCACUUCAACCCAUCCACCAUCACUACCACGAGCCCCUUGCUGUACCUCACACCACCAAUUUGAAUCUCUUCUUUGAAAUCUUGCCGUUGUUCUUCCAAAUCUUGCUGCUAUUCAUCGUUGCUACUGCCCACAGUUCUGUUCUUCUCUCCAACCUUCGUCUCCUCAAACCCAUGCUCCUACUCCUUCCCUCUUUCUCUCCCUGCCGCUCCACUGUUGCUCCUCUUCUCUCUCAACACUUGUUGCUGCUGAUGCCCGCAACCUCAUGUUGCUGCUCCUUCCACACCCAAGUUGCUGCUCUUCUCUCAAACCCACGUUGCUGCUCCAUCUCUCUACUUCCUUUGCUCCCCUUCUUCUUCUCUGAACCCAAACUGCUGCCGCAUCUCUUCUCUCUUUAAUUCUUGCAAAUUUCUGUAAAGGUGAACCUUGUGUACUGUUCUGAACACCCAAUUUGUGCUUAUUUUAUGUAUGUAUUAGUGUCUCUAAUAUAUGUGAAAUUGUGAGUUGCCGAGCGGAUCAUUUUCGAGUAGACUUGAACUGUCAUAUAUUGUGAGUCAUAUUUUUGUAAAUUCGUGAUUGUGGUUAAUUCUAGUAACCGUGGUGUUACAUAUUUGUGGAUCGCAUGUACAUGUUUUAAUCUAUGAAUUCCAUUGCUAUAGACUCGAAUGCACCGAUACCUCAGGCAACUAGCGAAUCAGUAUCAGAUACCGUAUCUGAUACCGAUACUCCUCCGAUACAUCCCCGAUAUGUAUCCAAGGAGUAUCCAUGAAUACACGAUUUAAAACAAUUCAGAUACUUGAAGGAUACUUUUUCAGUUCGUUUUGGAUACGACCCAGCCCAUCUAAGAGACCACUCAGCCCAGUUAAGAGGCAGACAACAACCCUAGUACCCCAAUGCCCCUUCCUUUCUCUCCCAGUUUUAUUUCCUCCCUCCCAAGCUCACACCAGGCGGUUGCUGGUGUUUGCGUACGUAGCAGCUACUCACCCAGGGCCGGCGUCAGCGGCGGCUAGCCGACGACGAGCUGCUACUCCUCACCAACGCCUCCUAUCACGCAGCAAGCAGAUGGCUCCUCCUGCUGAACCUCCUACUGUACCUACAAAUCUAAGGGCACCAUUGUGGAGCCAUGUUCAAAUCAUAGAGAAAUCACUUGGAGGGGUGCAACACUAAAUGGAAAUGCGACCACUGUGGUCAUGAAGCUUUGAGUAGCUACUCUAGAGUUUCUGCACAUUUGCUAAACAAGACAGGGAACCAUGGAAUCCAUGCAUGUAAAAAGGUCAUGGUUGACAUUCUGAAUCCCUUUUUUUGAAAAAUAAAUAAAUAGUAAAACGUAUCAGUAUUGGCACUUUUUCAAAAUGACGAAUUUACGUAUCCGUAUUGGCCCGAUACUGGUACCCAUAUCCAUAUCGAUGCAUUCGAGGCUAUAGAACUCAAUGCUGAUCUACAUCAUCUCAAAUGUCCGCUUGUAAAAUCCUGUACUAUAAUGUUUCUGCCACUUAUCCUUUAGGCUUGCCUGUGUUAGUAUUUUAAUUUCUUAAGAAAACGAAAAUACCAAAAAGACGAUGAUUGAAAUCUCAACCUUCCUAUGUUUGUUUGUUUUUCUUUGUCGAGAAUUUUCCAAAAUGAUAGUUUAGGUUUAUUUCCCUGUAAUCAUCACUUGAAUUGUGUUAACUAGAUUUAGCCGAGUAUAGUUGAUGUUGCCUAGUCCUUGUGGAGAACUUCAACAACCCACAGUUUGGGCGUAAACCUCAUUGUAUUUACAACGGAUCAGUUUGGCACCAUUGCUGGGGAUUAGCAUCAAGCGAUUGUGUUAGGCUAUAUAUAGAUCAGGUUUUUCUUGUUUUAUUUUUGUGGCAUUUAUAUGUGAUAUAUAUCUAACCCCUAACCACUGUUCUAGUUAUUUUCUCUUUCUUUUCUUGUUUGUUUUGUAGGUUGGAUUGUCUUCUUGGAAAUGGCAUUCUACUCAGAUCAUCAUUUUUAUGUGAGAAAUAGCACGGAAAGUGUGCAAGACAUGAUAAGUAAGAUUUCCCAUCAAUUAGUCAUGAUACUUAUCUUAGAGGCCAUCCUUAUGUUGAUCCUACAUGCCAUAUUUGUGGAUUUUAGGCCAUUCACCCGCUAAAUGUCAGUGUGGUUACUCUCACCCUCCAGGUUGUUUUGGCAUGAGCUUCACUCAAGAGCAUAGCUCAUACCAAAACAAUUACUCACAUGGAUGGUCUGAAAACCUGAAUAUGUCAUAUAGGAGCAACAACCCUGAGAUCUCAUCAUUUGCCUCUAGUUAUCCAAUGUAGGGAUUUAGGUAUGAAGAGGAGAGCAACAAUUAUGCACCACAACAAUUUUAUUCAGCUCCUAUUCAUGUACCUCAACACCUAGAGAUAUGUCUGCUGGAGUUAAAUGGUCCUCCAUUUGGUCAACAAAUAACUCUAGCACUAAAUGACUCGUUAGAGCAAUCUCAUGUGCAUGUGCCCACACAAGAUGAGUUCGAUGAGAUAGAAAAGAUCACACAUUUGAGUCUCGAGUUCACUUGGAGUGCUGAGGAUGAUCCUAUUAGGAAGGUUAUAGUAGAGAAAAUGAAGAAGAUUAAGAGUGGAAAAGAGCUAGUGGAAGAAGUAAGGAAGAUAGAGAAGAAUAUGAAUGUUGGAAGUACAAUCUCAUCACUACUUGAGCUGAGUGUUUUCUGUGAUUCCCCUUGAUACAAGUGAGGUUCCAACACCGUCACAUCCAGCUGAGCAAGAUAGCAAGAUCCCAGAGGAAGAAAGACCUCAGAUUGAAGAAUAAAUACUCGAAGACAAGGAACAAGAUGAUCCAGAGCUAGAAUUCCCAAGUGAUCAAGAUGAAGACAAAAGAUCUACUACUCUUGAAGAAGUAAAGAAGUUGUUGUAGUUGAAGAUGAAGAAUUAGAGAUUGCUUAUCGUCAUUCAAGAGUGUGAUAUUGCAGGUUUAUCUAAUCCUCUUGAUGACAUGCGUCCGUAUAAUUUCUUUGCUACUACCUUGCAUUACAUGAUACCAUCACUUACGAUCGAUUUGAAAACUCAUUUGCUUGCAUAUGAUGAUACAUACACUAUUGGUGGCAUUGCUCUCAUUUAUUAUGAUGACACUUAUUCUCCUCAUGCUAGACUUGUGCUUAAUGAUAAAUAUCAUCCUCAUUUA